rnacentral:rRNA from 1 species
GGGGUAGUGCUUGCACUACUGCCGGCGAGUGGCGAACGGGUGAGUAAUGCAUCGGAACGUACCGAGUAGUGGGGGAUAACUGUCCGAAAGGAUGGCUAAUACCGCAUACGCUUUGAGAAGGAAAGCGGGGGACCGAAAGGCCUCGCGCUAUUCGAGCGGCCGAUGUCUGAUUAGCUAGUUGGUGGGGUAAGAGCCUACCAAGGCGACGAUCAGUAGCGGGUCUGAGAGGAUGAUCCGCCACACUGGGACUGAGACACGGCCCAGACUCCUACGGGAGGCAGCAGUGGGGAAUUUUGGACAAUGGGGGCAACCCUGAUCCAGCCAUGCCGCGUGUCUGAAGAAGGCCUUCGGGUUGUAAAGGACUUUUGUCAGGGAAGAAAGGCGGGAGGCGAAUAACCUCCUGAUAUGACGGUACCUGAAGAAUAAGCACCGGCUAACUACGUGCCAGCAGCCGCGGUAAUACGUAGGGUGCGAGCGUUAAUCGGAAUUACUGGGCGUAAAGCGAGCGCAGACGGUUUUUAAGCAGGAUGUGAAAUCCCCGGGCUCAACCUGGGAACUGCGUUCUGAACUGGGAGACUAGAGUAUGUCAGAGGGGGGUAGAAUUCCACAUGUAGCAGUGAAAUGCGUAGAGAUGUGGAGGAAUACCGAUGGCGAAGGCAGCCCCCUGGGAUAAUACUGACGUUCAUGCUCGAAAGCGUGGGUAGCAAACAGGAUUAGAUACCCUGGUAGUCCACGCCCUAAACGAUGUCAAUUAGCUGUUGGGGUGCAUGACACCUUAGUAGCGUAGCU